rnacentral:rRNA from 1 species
CCGCACGGGUGAGUAACACGUAUCCAACCUGCCGUCUACUCUUGGACAGCCUUCUGAAAGGAAGAUUAAUACAAGAUGGCAUCAUGAGUCCGCAUGUUUACAUGAUUAAAGGUAUUCCGGUAGACGAUGGGGAUGCGUUCCAUUAGAUAGUAGGCGGGGUAACGGCCCACCUAGUCUUCGAUGGAUAGGGGUUCUGAGAGGAAGGUCCCCCACAUUGGAACUGAGACACGGUCCAA